AGAGAAGGGGAAAUAAUUUCCCCCUCAGUGA
rnacentral:tRNA from 1 species